UCGGUCCCUAGAGGUGUUAGAGGUAUCAGAUUUGCAUCAGUAGGCCGCAGAGAGGAGAAAGCCUGUUAUGCUCAGUGUUCUGACCUGUGAACAUCUGAAUGCUUUGAUUAGUGGCAUAACAUU
ensembl:snoRNA Gm24394 predicted gene, 24394